AAUCAGGGUGGGUUUUUUGUUUGAGAUUGAUUUUUCAAAUGAUCUUAAACAUCAAACUACCUUUUCACUGUUUGUUUUUUUUACAUUUUUAUAGCACAGUAUACAGCAGGAGGAACUGAUCUGAAAUUGUUAAUUUAAGGAUAUAGUGACUUCUCAUGAUUUGUUUCUUAUUCUCACUUUCAUAGUAUAGUUUAUGCCAGAAUUGACUCAUCAACCUGGGUGCUUAUCAUUUGCAAUUGCUUUUAGAAAGACACUUUAUGUACUACUUCUCAUUUUUUGUUUCUUUUUUACUCUCAUAGUACAGUUAGUAACAGGAAUGACUGAUCAGAAUGAGUUUUUAUCAAUUGAGUUUCAUAGCAUAGUUCUUACCAAAAGUGACUUAUAAGACCGAGUUCUUUUCAUUUGAAUAUUGUUUAAAACACCAGAAGAGACUCAUCAGACUGAGUGCUUAUCAUUUGUAAUUGGUUUUAAAAGGCUUUAUGUGGUACUUCUCAUUUUUUGUUUUACUUACAAAGUAUAGUUUGUACCAAAAGUGAUUGAUAAAACUGAGUUCUUAUCAUUUGAGUGUAGUUUUAAAAUGUUUUAUGUACUACACACUUUU